rnacentral:rRNA from 1 species
UACGUAGGGUGCGAGCGUUAAUCGGAAUUACUGGGCGUAAAGCGUGCGCAGGCGGUUUUGUAAGCCAGAUGUGAAAGCCCCGGGCUUAACCUGGGAAUGGCAUUUGGGACUGCAAGGCUUGAGUGCGGCAGAGGAGACUGGAAUUCCUGGUGUAGCAGUGAAAUGCGUAGAUAUCAGGAGGAACACCGGUGGCGAAAGCGGCUCUCUGGAACGGUACUGACGCUGAGACGCGAAAGCGUGGGGAGCGAACAGG